CGAAUCCUGACACAGGGAGGUAGUGACAAGAAAUAACAAUACAGGGCUACUUCUAGUCUUGUAAUUGGAAUGAGUACAACUUACAUCUCUUCACGAGGAUCAACUGGAGGGCAAGUCUGGUGCCAGCAGCCGCGGUAAUUCCAGCUCCAGAAGCGUAUAUUAAAGUUGUUGCAGUUAAAACGCUCGUAGUCGGGUUUCGGGUCGGGCCGAGCGGUCUGCCGAUGGGUAUGCACUGUUUGGCGCGGCCUUCUUUCCGGAGACCGCGGCUACUCUUAACUGAGCGGGCGUGGGAGACGGAUCGUUUACUUUGAAAAAAUCAGAGUGUUUCAAGCAGGCAGCUCGCUCUUGCAUGGUACAGCAUGGGAUGAUUGAAUAGGACUCCGGUGCUAUUUUGUUGGUUUCGAACACCAGGAGUAAUGAUUAACAGGGACAGUCAGG
rnacentral:rRNA from 1 species